GCGCCAGACUCCUACGGGAGGCAGCAGUGAGGAAUAUUGGUCAAUGGCCGGAAGGCUGAACCAGCCAAGCCGCGUGAAGGACGAAGGUGCCAAGCAUUGUAAACUUCUUUUGUCAAGGGACAAAAUCAGGCUCGAGAGCCUGACCGAGGGUACUUGAAGAAAAAGCAUCGGCUAACUCCGUGCCAGCAGCCGCGGUAAUACGGAGGAUGCGAGCGUUAUCCGGAUUUAUUGGGUUUAAAGGGUGCGCAGGCGGCGUAUAAAGAGGGGGGAAAAGGCCGGGGGCUCAACCCGGGCGAGCCGUUGAAACUGGCGGGCUGGAGUUGGAGAGAAGUACGCGGAAUGCGCGGUGUAGCGGUGAAAUGCUUAGAUAUCGCGCAGAACCCCGAUUGCGAAGGCAGCGUACCGGCUCCACACUGACGCCGAGGCACGAAAGCGUGGGUAUCGAACAGGAUUAGAUACCCCAGUA
rnacentral:rRNA from 1 species